GAUGAAGAACGUAGCGAAAUGCGAUACGUAAUGUGAAUUGCAGAAUUCAGUGAAUCAUCGAAUCUUUGAACGCAUAUUGCGCUCUCUGGUAUUCCGGAGAGCAUGCUCGUUUGAGUAUCAGUAAACACCUCAACUCCCUUUUCUUUUUUGAAAUUGGAGCUGGACUUGAGUGAUCCCAACGCUUUCUUCCAAGAAAGUGGCGGGUUGCUUGAAAUGCAGGUGCAGCUGAACUUUUCUCUGAGCUAUAAGCAUAUCUAUUUAGUCUGCCUAAAAAACAGAUUAUUACCUUUGCUGCAGCUAACAUAAAGGAGACUAGUUCUUGUGCUGACUGAUGCAGGAUUCACAGAGACAGCUUCGGCUGACUUUGUAAACUCGAUCUCAAAUCAAGUAAGACUACCCGCUGAACUUAAGCAUAUCAAUAAGCGGAGGA
rnacentral:misc_RNA from 1 species